rnacentral:rRNA from 1 species
CCUACGGGAGGCAGCAGUGGGGAAUAUUGCACAAUGGGCGCAAGCCUGAUGCAGCGACGCCGCGUGAGGGAUGACGGCCUUCGGGUUGUAAACCUCUUUCAGUAGGGAAGAAGCGAAAGUGACGGUACCUGCAGAAGAAGCGCCGGCUAACUACGUGCCAGCAGCCGCGGUAAUACGUAGGGCGCAAGCGUUAUCCGGAAUUAUUGGGCGUAAAGAGCUCGUAGGCGGUUUGUCGCGUCUGCCGUGAAAGUCCGGGGCUCAACUCCGGAUCUGCGGUGGGUACGGGCAGACUAGAGUGAUGUAGGGGAGACUGGAAUUCCUGGUGUAGCGGUGAAAUGCGCAGAUAUCAGGAGGAACACCGAUGGCGAAGGCAGGUCUCUGGGCAUUAACUGACGCUGAGGAGCGAAAGCAUGGGGAGCGAACAGGAUUAGAUACCCUGGUAGUCCAUGCCGUAAACGUUGGGCACUAGGUGUGGGGGACAUUCCACGUUUUCCGCGCCGUAGCUAACGCAUUAAGUGCCCGCCUGGGGAGUACGGCCGCAAGGCUAAAACUUAAAUGAAUUGACGG